GUGCCAGCCGCCGCGGUAAUACGGAGGGUGCAAGCGUUAAUCGGAAUUACUGGGCGUAAAGCGCACGCAGGCGGUCUGUCAAGUCGGAUGUGAAAUCCCCGGGCUCAACCCGGGAACUGCAUUCGAAACUGUCAGGCUGGAGUCUUGUAGAGGGGGUAGAAUUCCAGGUGUAGCGGUAAAAUGCGUAGAGAUCUGGAGGAAUACCGGUGGCGAAGGCGGCCCCCUGGACAAAGACUGACGCUCAGGUGCGAAAGCGUGGGGAGCAAACAGGAUUAGAUACCCUGGUAGUCCACGCCGUAAACGAUGUCUAUUUGGAGGUUGUGCCCUUGAGGCGUGGCUUCCGGAGCUAACGCGUUAAAUAGACCGCCUGGGGAAUACGGCCGCAAGGUUAAACUCAAAUGAAUUGACGGGGCCCGCACAAGCGGUGGAGCAUGUGGUUUAAUUCGAUGCAACGCGAAGAACCUUACCUGGUCUUGACAUCCACAGAAGUUUUCAGUAGAUAGAGAAUGUAGCCUUCGGGAACU
rnacentral:rRNA from 1 species